rnacentral:lncRNA from 1 species
AAGUUAGACAGAACCAGAGGAAAGUCAGAAUGAGGAUUCCUAGCUGGAGAUUUAACCAGAACAGAGUUAUUCCAGUGACUUUCCAGCUUCAAAUUUGGAGGCAAAUUUUCCAUCAAAGGAUUAAGUACCAGUAUCUUCGAAUGCUGAUGAAGUGUUACUUAAGUCUCAUCAAUUCACAAUUUCUUAUCAUAUACACUACAUACACAAAUUUUCGAUCUUUCACAGGACAUUAGCAAAAUUAGGCAAACUGGACUAGCAUGACCAAAAAAGAUGUUACAGAGCACACACAAUUCUGACAGGGCAACGAUCAGGAAGUAGUUUUCUUUAGGAAACAAUUCUACUAAAAACAUGGGAAUAGAAGUCAUUUAGAAUAUCCAAGGCAGGGGUCGGGGAUUUAGCUCAGUGGUUUCACCGCCUGCUUUGCAAGUGCAAGGACCCGAGUUCGAUCCUCGGUACCAAAAAACCCCCCAAAAAUCCAAGACAUAUUAAAUGCACGACUGUGACUCCAAAUUACCAUUUAGUAUGCUUUAUAUUACAGGAUAUAAAACUAAUCCCCACCUGUGGAAUGUUAAGCUGACACCCAGGACAGUCAAAGCCUGCCAUAAUUCAAUAUCCCACUAUUUUCUGGUUGUACCAAAAAAUAAACAACCAGCAAAUGAUUUCACGUCUAAAAAAAAAAUCAUUUACACUUAAAAAAUGCGAUGAGGUGGGAUUCCCUCCUUUUUAAAAAUGUUUCUAGAGCUGCUAAAAAACUUGCGUUUACAAAAUAGCUGACAAAAAUAUUCCUCUGGAUUGUACGAGAAGGGAGACAGGGAGCACUGGUAAGACGCGGUGUGCUCAGUCAGACUUGGCUUCUUUUGCUUCCGUUUCUUUGGAGGCUGGGCUCUCCCCGUUUUUAGUUUCUCCGUUUUCCGUGGGUAAAUCUUCCUUAGGUUCUUGAUUAGGCACUUCAGCCUGUUUUCCUUUUGCUCCCCUUUUCCCUUUGGCUUGCCCUUUUUUGUCGGAAGAUUUAUUCUUUCCCGCUUUUUUGGCUUCGUUUCCACUUUUGCAGGAGCAGGUUUAGCCGACAACCUCGCCGAUCUCCUCUUGGGCUCCUCCUUCGCCGCCCCUUCGGGGGAGCUGGCCUUCCUCUUGGGCAUCUUGGCGUCGCGGGGUGUGCGUGCGGAAGCUGGAGCUGCGACGCACGGGAGCCUUGCGGAACUACGCUGCGCGGCCACUGCCGCUCCUCCCGCCGCCAGAGCUCUGGGCUUUGUGUUCUGAGACACGGUAUCCCUUUCCCCCCAAGAACCUAAGAAGGGAGAGAGUGUAGGAUAUAGAAUCAUUUUUAUGAGGGGAUGCAAAGCAAAAGGUCAUCAACAUAUUGGAGCAGGUGGCUGGGGGUAAGGCCAAGGGAUUGAAGGUCCUUUUGUAAUGCUUGGCCAAAGAAGUGGAAGCUAUCCCCAAAUCCCUGGGUAAGAACUGUCCAUGUGAGUUGUUGGGUGAACAGAGAUAUGGGGUCUGUCUAGGUAAAGGCAAAAAGUUAUUGGGAGUCAAGGCUAAGGGGAAUACUAAGGAAGGCAUCUUUGAGGUCUAAACAGGAAAGGAUUGAAUAUUGGGGGGAUGUGGGAAAGGAGGGUAGGGGUUGGGGACCACUGGGUGAGUGGGAACAACAGCUUCAUUAAUCUUUCCAAGAUCUUGGACUAAUCAGAAGGAGCCAUCAGUGUUUUUUUUUUUUUUCUCGGAAGAACGGUAGUAUUGGAGGAGAGUGGGUAGAGAUGAGAAUUGGGGCUUUAAAAAGGCAGUUGAUAAUGGGCUGAAGGCCAAGAUGGCCAUCGGGGAUAAGGAGGUAUUGGUUGACUCUAACAGCUCGAGUUGGGUCCCUCAGGGCCAUUUUGAGGGGUUGGUGGUAUAAGGCUAAGGAAGGGUUUUUUUGUGUCCCAAGCAAUAGGAUCAACUUAUGAUUUGAUGAGUUGGAUUGCCUCAGAGGGGAAGGUCUUAUUAGUCAGUAUGACUGCUAGAAUAAGGAAGGGCUCAGAAGGAAGUGAGGGAAUAUAUAUAGAUGGCCCCAAGUGAUGGAGACCAUGUCUUCCUAAAAGGGGUGUGGGGCAGUGGGGGAUUAACA